GUGUUUAUAGCCCUGUGACUUUAUCACUUCAUGACUGAGAGCUGCUGCUCAGCAACUUCACCCACAGCAACCAUGACUCUGAUCAGCGUCUUCAUCUGUACACUGGUCCUCUGGACUCAAGGAUCCAGAGGUCAGGGGACUGUGACUCAGACUCCUUCAGUGCAAACUGUUUCUCCUGGAAACACAGUGACCAUCAACUGUAGAUUCAGCACUGCUGUUUAUCACGACUGUGGGCCCUCUGGUGUAUCAUAUGACUGUCUAGCCUGGUACCUACAGAAACCUGGAGAAGCUCCUAAACUCCUAGUGCGCUAUGUGAGUCACCUGUUCUCAGGGACUCCAGCUCGUUUCAGUGGCAGUGGAUCUAAGACUGACUUCACUCUGACCAUCAGUGGAGUCCAGGCUGAAGAUUCAGGAGAUUACUAUUGUCAGAGUAGACAUAAGAUCAGUGAGAGCAAUGUGUACACACAGUGUUACAGCGCCGUACAAAAACCUCAUCACAGAGAAGCACUGCUGCAGCUGGGAAAGACUGCAGGUGCUGAGCACAGGAGAAAACACACCACACUAACACACACACACACACACACACACACACACACCAGUGAGAGGGGUCUACAUUUCCCAGCUGUGGAUCAUUAUUUUAAGUAACAUAUUGACCGUGGAUCUGAGAAAGAAUUUCAUCUUAAACUGACUGAGGUCCAGUUAUCCACACACAGUGACACUCAGCUGAACAUCAACUACACAUCAUUACAAAGUCCUUUUCUCUUUUUGGGGAAUUUUUGCUCACUAGGGAAAAAGGUUCCUCACAGAUUUCUCGGUCAGUUUGUAGUUCUGCUUUUCUGAAGAGGUUCGAGGAACAAGCAAGACAGCUUGAGUUAAAGCAGCAGCAGCCAAACUUACUCAGCUGAUACGACUGUAAAAAUGUUGUUGUUGGUAACACACACACACACACACACACACAUUCUUACAAAGCAGCUUUACAGAAAGGAAAUGAAUUCAGAAUAUAGAUUUUAAAUACAUAAAUUUUCCCUAAUGAGGGAGUCAGAGGUGACGGUGGUGAGGAUAUUGUCCAUGAGACGUUAUGAGGAAGGAACACUGAGAGGAACCAGACUUAAAGGAACCCCAUCCUCAUCUGAGUGACACCUGAGACUGUGAUUAUAAAUCAUUACUCUUGUAGAACUGUGGACUAUAUGAUCAGAAACUGCAGCUGUGUAACCAGGAGAUUCAUUCUAGUUUAAAUAUGAAGUCUGUCAUGUUAAAGGUAUCAGAUGUAAAUGAAUGCAAACUUGAGCCCAUAACCUACAAAACAUAAAGGUUCAGGUCAAAACCAGAAAACUGUUAUAGCUAGGAUUAAUGGAUACAUGAACAGGGACUAGAAAUGUGUGAACUAGGACUAAUAAUGUAUGGGAUCUAGAAAUCAGGGACUAACUGGAACUAGGAUUAGGACAUGAACUGGUAGUUUAGUGGUUAAUCUGUUAGACUACUGAUUAGAAGGUUGUGAGUUUGAAGCCCAGGUUCACCAAGCUGCCGCUGCUGGGCCCCUGAGUAAGUCCCUUAUCUCCCAGUUGCAUAAAAUGAGAUAAGUUAUAAGUCGCUCUGGAUAAGGGCAAAUGUAAAUAAGGAAAAAGUAUUCAGAAUGAAGAAGAUAAAAGACUAAGGAAUGAUUAGGAUUUAGACAAGAAUAAAAGAAUGAAGUAUAGAACUCAGUGAAGCUAAACUGUAAUGC